GGUCAAGUGACUAAGAGCAUAUGGUGGAUGCCUUGGCGAUUACAGGCGAUGAAAGACGUGAUAGCCUGCGAAAAGCUUCGGGGAGCUGGCAAAUAAGCUUUGAUCCGGAGAUGUCUGAAUGGGGAAACCCACCCGCAAGGGUAUCAACAGCUCAAUACAUAGGCUGUUGAAGCGAACCUGGAGAACUGAAACAUCUAAGUACCCAGAGGAAAAGAAAUCAACCGAGAUUCCGAUAGUAGUGGCGAGCGAAUUCGGAAGAGCCUUCUAGUGAUAGUCGACGAGUUAACAAAACGGCAUGGAAAGGCCGGCCAUAGUAGGUGAUAGCCCUGUAUGUGAAAACUUGUCGGUGGUACUGAGCUAGAGAAAAGUAGGGCGGGACACGUGUAAUCCUGUCUGAAUAUGGGGGGACCAUCCUCCAAGGCUAAAUACUCGUAAUCGACCGAUAGUGAACCAGUACCGUGAGGGAAAGGCGAAAAGAACCCCGGGAGGGGAGUGAAAUAGAUCCUGAAACCGUAUGCUUACAAAAAGUCGGAGCCUCGUAAGGGGUGACGGCGUACCUUUUGUAUAAUGGGUCAGCGACUUACAUUCAGUGGCAAGCUUAACCGAGUAGGGAAGGCGUAGAGAAAUCGAGUCCGAAUAGGGCGUUUUUAGUCGCUGGGUGUAGACCCGAAACCAAGUGAUCUAACCAUGGCCAGGAUGAAGGUGCCGUAACAGGUACUGGAGGUCCGAACCGACUGAUGUUGCAAAAUCAGCGGAUGAGCUGUGGUUAGGGGUGAAAGGCUAAACAAACUUGGAAAUAGCUGGUUCUCUCCGAAAACUAUUUAGGUAGUGCCUCAAGUAUUACCUGCGGGGGUAGAGCACUGUUUUGGCUAGGGGGUCAUGGCGACUUACCAAACCAAGGCAAACUCCGAAUACCGCAGAGUACAGCUUGGGAGACAGAGCACCGGGUGCUAACGUCCGGACUCAAGAGGGAAACAACCCAGACCGCCAGCUAAGGUCCCUAAAAUUGGCUAAGUGGGAAACGAAGUGGGAAGGCUAAAACAGUCAGGAUGUUGGCUUAGAAGCAGCCAUCAUUUAAAGAAAGCGUAAUAGCUCACUGAUCGAGUCGUCCUGCGCGGAAGAUGUAACGGGGCUAAGCCAGUUACCGAAGCUGCGGAUGUGCAAUUUAUUGCACGUGGUAGGAGAGCGUUCUGUAAGCCUGUGAAGGUGUCUGGUAACGGAUGCUGGAGGUAUCAGAAGUGCGAAUGCUGACAUGAGUAGCGUUAAAAGGGGUGAAAAGCCCCUUCGCCGUAAGCGCAAGGUUUCCUACGCAACGUUCAUCGGCGUAGGGUGAGUCGGCCCCUAAGGCGAGGCAGAGAUGCGUAGCUGAUGGGAAACAGGUCAAUAUUCCUGUACCGAUCAAUAGUGCGAUGUGGGGACGGAGAAGGUUAGCUCAGCCACCUGUUGGAAUAGGUGGUUCAAGCGUGUAGUCGUGCCUGGUAGGCAAAUCCGCCGGGCUUAGAUGAGGCGUGAUAACGAGUGUGCUUGCACACGAAGUGAGUGAUAC
rnacentral:ncRNA from 1 species